CCUACGGGAGACUGCAGUGGGGGAUAUUGCACAAUGGGGGGAACCCUGAUGCAGCGACGCCGCGUGGGUGAAGAAGCGCCUCGGCGCGUAAAGCCCUGUCAGCAGGGAAGAAAAUGACGGUACCUGCAGAAGAAGCCCCGGCUAACUACGUGCCACCAGCCGCGGUAAUACGUCGGGGGCAAGCGUUAUCCGGAUUUACUGGGUGUAAUGGGGGCGCAGACGGCGAUGCAAGCCAGGAGUGAAAGCCCGGGGCCCAACCCCGGGACUGCUCUUGGAACGGCGUGGCUGGAGUGCAGGAGGGGCAGGCGGAAUUCCGGGUGUAGCGGUGAAAUGCAUAGAUAUCAGGAGGAACACCGGUGGCGAAGGCGGCCUGCUGGACUGCAACUGACGUUGAGGCCCGAAAGCGUGGGGAGCAAACAGGAUUAGAUACCCGUGUAGUC
rnacentral:rRNA from 1 species